rnacentral:rRNA from 1 species
AUUGAACGCUGGCGGCAUGCCUUACACAUGCAAGUCGAACGGCAGCGGACCUUCGGGUGCCGGCGAGUGGCGAACGGGUGAGUAAUGCAUCGGAACGUGCCAUUGAGUGGGGGAUAACGUAGCGAAAGUUGCGCUAAUACCGCAUAUUCUGUGAGCAGGAAAGCAGGGGACCGCAAGGCCUUGCGCUCUUUGAGCGGCCGAUGUCAGAUUAGCUAGUUGGUGAGGUAACGGCUUACCAAGGCGACGAUCUGUAGCGGGUCUGAGAGGAUGAUCCGCCACACUGGAACUGAGACACGGUCCAGACUCCUACGGGAGGCAGCAGUGGGGAAUUUUGGACAAUGGGGGCAACCCUGAUCCAGCCCAUCGCCGCGUGAGU